rnacentral:rRNA from 1 species
UACGUAGGUGGCAAGCGUUAUCCGGAUUUAUUGGGCGUAAAGGGAACGCAGGCGGUCUUUUAAGUCUGAUGUGAAAGCCUUCGGCUUAACCGGAGUAGUGCAUUGGAAACUGGGAGACUUGAGUGCAGAAGAGGAGAGUGGAACUCCAUGUGUAGCGGUGAAAUGCGUAGAUAUAUGGAAGAACACCAGUGGCGAAAGCGGCUCUCUGGUCUGUAACUGACGCUGAGAUUCGAAAGCGUGGGUAGCAAACAGG